rnacentral:tRNA from 1 species
GCCGUGGUGGUGGAAUUGGCAGACACGUAGUGUUGAGGGCGCUAUGGGUUAGUCCCGUGCGGGUUCGAGUCCCGCCCACGGCA